UACGUAGGGGGCUAGCGUUGUCCGGAUUUAUUGGGCGUAAAGGGCGUGUAGGCGGCCUGGCAGGUCUGCUGUGAAAACUCGAGGCUCAACCUCGAGAUGUCGGCGGAAACCGUCUGGCUAGAGUCCGGAAGAGGAGAGUGGAAUUCCUGGUGUAGCGGUGAAAUGCGCAGAUAUCAGGAAGAACACCUAUGGCGAAGGCAGCUCUCUGGGACGGUACUGACGCUGAGACGCGAAAGCGUGGGGAGCGAACAGG
rnacentral:rRNA from 1 species